CGAAAGAGGAAGAGAGAGAGAGAGGGAACGAGUGGAGGGAGUGACGAGGGAGUGAGAAAGAAGCUUGUUUUUAAAAGACUUGAUUCCGCAACCCGAGCAGGGCCCCUGGUGAUGGCGUGAUCGUGCUGACGUUACAUUGGGUCAGACAAAAACCAGUAAUCUACAGGCGAGGCAGAAGAAGCGACUCGAUCCUCAUGUCAGGGGGUGAAGCGAGGCAAAGAGGCAUAGAUAGUCAUCGUGGUUGGGAGGGAGAGUGUGGGUCCCGAGCCGCACCAACCACCACUUGGCAGCCGUUACAACCCGCGGGAUAGAACUCUGUGGGCAAAGGGAGAUAACACGUGGACUGGUUUCCUUUCUCGAAAUGGGGUCAGCGUGAGGAGAGAUGUUUCGGAGCGAAAGGAUGAGUCUGGUUCAUCCGAGGCCACGCCAGCGCGAUUCGAGGUCCUUCCCCGCGAUUCCUGCCAGUGGCGGAGCAGGGCGGGCGAGGUCGCCGUCUCCGAUGGGAAGAAGAUCCGGAGGAGCCUGCCGGAAGAUGGUGGUCUGGUGCUUGUUCGCUGGGCCCCUGGUGUCGGAGCCAGCGAGGCUUCUCUGGGAGAAGGUCGAUAUAAGUCAAGUACCACGUUCGCCCAAGGGGUCACAAAACUGUCGUCGCGGCAACGACCCUCGACCCAUCACCUCUGACACGAACUGCGGAUUGAGAUUGUGGGAGGGGUGUGGACGCUCUCGAGGUAGGAUUCCGAUGAGAAUGUUGAUACCUUUUGGGAGCUGAACUCGACUAAUAGUAGUCGCGACACGCGGCCAGUUAACUACCGUUGAGGAAUUUGAUGGGAGAUAACUCUUUUUACUGACCGCUUACACAUUUUAUGGUUUUUUAAUUGCUUUUUUUGUGGCUGCAGAUGCAGCAGCGACUAAGCCGUUAGGCUUUGAUGACAGACUAGGUGUUCAACACACAUACACAAAGAGAAAGAGGACGAUGAAAGAGUCAUUGAUGAAUCCGAUUCCCUCGGGCUGCUGAUGUGAGUUUGAUGACAGCGUAAUGUAGUCGCCGGAUAUCAUGCUAAUCUUCAAAUUCGCAUUUGUCUGUCAUGACUGACUCUAGAUUUGUGUGUGAUUCGUGUGUUAACAAGGAAGAAAGGAUAGUCGAUGUGACAUUGUCAAUUCAGAUUCUAUCUGAUUGACCAGUAUGGUGACUGGUACUAGUACAAACUGCUAGCUACUAAUAGAAACUGCUACUCCCAGUUGCUACUAAGAACAAACUUACAAGAAGACAAUGUUGCAGGGGCUCGUAUCAAUGAAUGCACCGAAAAUAUGGAUUGGAGUCCUGUGCGCGAGGUCUGGUAUACAGGUAACCUUAUAAAUAAUUUUUUUCUGUUUUCUCUUCACCUUGUUCUUAUCCCGCUGUACUACUUCAUUUCAUCUUACUUUCAAAACAUCCAGACUCAACCCGUUAAAAACAUUCAUUGCUUGUGAUUUGUUUUCCUUCAUAGUAUCUUCAUCCUUUUUUCCACACCUUGAAUUUUUAUUCUGCUUCUUGUUUUGUUCCCCCCUCCUUUUUUUUUUUUUUUUGUCU
rnacentral:lncRNA from 1 species